AUACGUAGGUGGCAAGCGUUGUCCGGAAUUAUUGGGCGUAAAGCGCGCGCAGGUGGUUCCUUAAGUCUGAUGUGAAAGCCCCCGGCUCAACCGGGGAGGGUCAUUGGAAACUGGGGAACUUGAGUGCAGAAGAGGAUAGUGGAAUUCCAAGUGUAGCGGUGAAAUGCGUAGAGAUUUGGAGGAACACCAGUGGCGAAGGCGACUGUCGGGUCUGUAACUGACACUGAGGCGCGAAAGCGUGGGGAGAAAACAGGAUUAGAUACCCUGGUAGUCCACGCCGUAAACGAUGAGUGCUAAGUGUUGGGGGGUUUCCGCCCCUCAGUGCUGCAGCUAACGCAUUAAGCACUCCGCCUGGGGAGUACGGUCGCAAGACUGAAACUCAAAGGAAUUGACGGGG
rnacentral:rRNA from 1 species